AUUGAACGCUGGCGGCGUGCCUAACACAUGCAAGUCGAGCGGCAGCGCGGGAGCAAUCCUGGCGGCGAGCGGCGGACGGGUGAGUAAUGCUUGGGAAUCUGCCUGUUAGUGGGGGACAACCCGGGGAAACUCGGGCUAAUACCGCAUACGCACUACGGUGGAAAGCCGGGGACCGCAAGGCCUGGCGCUAACAGAUGAGCCCAAGUCGGAUUAGCUAGUUGGUAGGGUAACGGCCACCAAGGCGACGAUCCGUAACUGGUCUGAGAGGACGACCAGUCACACCGGAACUGAGACACGGUCCGGACUCCUACGGGAGGCAGCAGUGGGGAAUAUUGGACAAUGGGGGAAACCCUGAUCCAGCGACGCCGCGUGGGUGAAGAAGGCCUGCGGGUUGUAAAGCCCUUUCAGUGGGGAAGAAAAG
rnacentral:rRNA from 1 species